UACAGCCAUAUCACGUUGAAACACCAGUUCUUGUGUGAUCACCGAAGUUAAGCAACGUCGAGCCUGGUCAGUAACUAGAUGGUUGAUCGCUUGGGAAUA